rnacentral:rRNA from 1 species
UACGUAGGGGGCAAGCGUUAUCCGGAUUUACUGGGUGUAAAGGGAGCGUAGACGGUAUGGUAAGUCAGAUGUGAAAGCCCAGGGCUCAACCCUGGGACUGCAUUUGAAACUAUCAAACUAGAGUGCAGGAGAGGUAAGUGGAAUUCCUAGUGUAGCGGUGAAAUGCGUAGAUAUUAGGAGGAACACCAGUGGCGAAGGCGGCUUACUGGACUGUAACUGACGUUGAGGCUCGAAAGCGUGGGGAGCAAACAGG